AUCUCAUUAGGGCUCCGUUGCGGGACCGCGUUUCGGGGCUGGCGGUUUGRAGCGCGGCGGCGCCGAGGAGCUGGGUCCCGCUGCCGGUUUUGCUCUGGAGGAAACGUGUAUUUAUCGAAACAGUCGGCCGGCAAAGGAGCCUGAAGUGCUGCAUGCUGUCGGGUGCUUUCAGUUGACCUUUCCCAGCCACUGUGGACAGAUCUACAGAACCUGCAGGACGCUAAGAGACAUUUCCCAAGCUCCAUGAGGUGCAAAAGAGUGAGACGUCAGCAGUAAAGAGCCAUGUGGGGAGUAGAAUUUCUUGAGCAUCACAGAUGUGACACUCCUGGUCCUGUAACCACUCUGCAACAUCUCACCCUGGCCCUCUGCCCAGUGGAGAUCAGGAGGGUGUCAGUUACUCUGAAUGUGCAGGUCCUAAGGAGCUGCAUAUCCC